rnacentral:rRNA from 1 species
CAGCCGCCGCGGUAAUACGUAGGGUGCGAGCGUUAAUCGGAAUUACUGGGCGUAAAGCGUGCGCAGGCGGUUGUGUAAGACAGGUGUGAAAUCCCCGGGCUUAACCUGGGAACUGCGCUUGUGACUGCACAGCUAGAAUAUGGCAGAGGGGGGUGGAAUUCCACGUGUAGCAGUGAAAUGCGUAGAGAUGUGGAGGAACACCGAUGGCGAAGGCAGCCCCCUGGGCCAAUACUGACGCUCAUGCACGAAAGCGUGGGGAGCAAACAGGAUUAGAUACCCCUGUAGUCCCUGUCUCUUAUAC